GACGAACGCUGGCGGCGUGCUUAACACAUGCAAGUCGAACGGAAAGGCCUGCUUUCCCUUGUGGAUUGCGGGUACUCGAGUGGCGAACGGGUGAGUAACACGUGAGUGAUCUGCCCCCAACUUGGGUAUAAGCCUGGGAAACUGGGUCUAAUUCCCGAUAGGACUGCAGGGUGGUGCCUGUGGUGGAAAACGAUUUUCUAGUGGUUGCGGAUGAGCUCGUGGCCUAUCAGCUUGUUGGUGGGGUAAUGGCCUACCAAGGCGGCGACGGGUAGCCGGCGUGAGAGGAUGGACGGUGACAUUGAGACAGAGACACGACCCAGACUCCUAGGGGAGGCAGCGGUGGGGAAUCUAGGACAAUGGGCGGAAGCCUGAUGCAGCGACGCCGCGUGGGGGAUGACGGCGUUCGGGUUGUAUACUCCUUUCGACCGCGAGGAGGCCGCCUGGUUGGAAGGGUGGUGACGGUAGUGGUAGAAGAAGCACCGGCUAACUACGUG
rnacentral:rRNA from 1 species